AUUAUGAUUUGCACGCAAGCGAAUCCUCUACUCGGAAAUGUUCGGACGAGCCGAACCACUAACGA
rnacentral:ncRNA from 1 species